rnacentral:rRNA from 1 species
CGAACUGCCGUUGCAAAACGGAGGAAGGUGGGAUGACGUCAAAUCAUCAUGCCCCUUAUGUUCUGGGCUACACACGUGCUACAAUGGCCGGUACAGACGGACGCAAAGCCGCGAGGUGGAGCAAAUCCUAAAAAGCCGGUCUCAGUUCGGAUUGCAGGCUGCAAUUCGCCUGCAUGAAGUCGGAAUCGCUAGUAAUCGCAGGUCAGCAUACUCGCGUCCGAUACGUUCCGGCCUU